GCACCAGUGGUCUAAUGGUAGAAUAGUAUCCUGCCACGGAACAGACCUGGGUUCGAUUCCCGGCUGGUGCA
rfam:Brassica rapa chromosome A3, whole genome shotgun sequence.